rnacentral:miRNA from 2 species
AUAUAGGGAUUGGAGCCGUGGC